GAAUUGAAAUCGCUAAUUGCAGAAACUUACUUUUAAUCGAAACCGCCAUUUAAGUUUGCAUUGCUCGAAUGCUCAAAGCAUUCUGUUGGGAAGCACACAGGUUAGUUCUUCCUCUCCCAUUUUAUACUGUUGUAUAUGUUCUGCUUGUGUCUUAUGAUACCUAUCUGCAUUAAAAAAAAAAUUAUCUUGGGGGACUUUAGUAUUGUUAAAACCCGCCUUUCUAUAUUUAGAUUUUGUUAAGCUGUCACAUUCUAUGAUAAGAUCAUUAGAGAAGUAUUUGAAUAAUGAUGGUGUAUGUGUGGUAAUCUUCUCUAAAAAC
rnacentral:lncRNA from 1 species